GGCUGGUCCGAAGGUAGUGAGUUAUCUCACUUGACUGUCAGUCAGUUACAGACUGAACUCAACAUUCUACCACUUUCCCCCCUCCUCACUACUGCACUUGACUAGUCUAAG
rnacentral:Y_RNA from 1 species